GGGCGGGCCCCGCGUGUUGGCGGGAAAGCUGCGGCCACGGCCCUUCCCCCCGCCCCCGACGGUGAGGGGCAGUCGGCGGCGACGUGUCCCGGGCGGGUCGCUGUGGCCAGCAUGGACGCGGCGGAGGUGGAGUUUCUGGCUGAGAAGGAGCUGGUCACCAUAAUCCCAAACUUCAGCCUAGACAAGAUCUACCUCAUCGGGGGGGACCUGGGGCCUUUUAACCCUGGUUUACCAGUGGAAGUGCCUCUGUGGCUGGCGAUUAACCUGAAGCAGAGGCAGAAGUGUCGGCUGAUCCCCCCUGAGUGGAUGGGUGUGGAAAAGUUGGAGAAGAUUAGGGAUCAUGAACGAAAGGAAGAAACUUUUACCCCUAUGCCUAGCCCUUACUACAUGGAACUUACGAAACUCCUAUUAAAUCAGGAAUCCCUUGCUGCUUUAUCGCUUGACACUGGACCCCGUGCUUCAGACAAUAUCCCGAAAGCAGAUGAGAUCCGGACCCUGAUCAAGGAUGUGUGGGACACUCGCAUAGCCAAACUACGGGUGUCUGCUGACAGCUUUGUGAGCCAGCAGGAGGCACAUGCCAAGCUGGAUAACCUGACCUUGAUGGAAAUCAACACCAGUGGGGCCUUCCUCACACAAGCACUCAAUCACAUGUAUAAACUCCGUACGAACCUGCAACCUUCUGAAGGCAUCCAGUCUCAAGACUUCUAGAGAAAGACAUGAACUGUAAAGAAAGGCCUUGCAUCUGUUGGCCGGAGGCUUGCCAGGUGGUGUGAGUGCUCGAGACAUGACAGAGUUUAGCAAUAAAACCCAUCUCCUACCACUGAAGAACACAGACUGAAAGUGCUAACAAACUCAGCAAGCAACAUCAGAGAACACCAAAGGCAAAAAAACUAAGGCUGUCCCCUCUACAGACCUAUGCACCACGUGAACUCUGACGGUCCUGUGCCAUCAACACAGCAGCCAAUGAGAACCUUUAUUUCUUCCCAGUUUCAUAAACCAGAGAAGAGCUCCAUUAGUGCUGUGCUCUGUUCAGUAGCCCAGAGGUCCCCGGCAUGGCAGCAGGACAAAAAGUGAAAACUCAAAAGAACUAAAUUUCAUUGACAGAUCUAUCAUCUAUGAUCAUAUAAGGAAUAAAGGAAAAUAAAAACUAAAAAAAAUCCAUGAUAACCCAACUGACACCUAAAACUCAACGUAAUAAAAGGAUGCUGCUUAUGGCAAAAAAAAAAGGGGGGGGGAGUAAAUGGUUUAAUGCAAUUUAAUACCAUAAUCAGAGAGGGAAUAGCGCUGCUAUCAAAAAUAUUCUCUCCAAGUCUAUAAAUUCAGUGCAACUGCAAAUUCUAAAAAUUUCUUGGAACAAACAAGGUGAUCCUAAAAUCCAUGGGGGAACCCCCAAGGGCCCAGAACAGUGCAGAUGCAAGCAUGCUCCGCUGUGAGGAGAGCGGCCGAGCCAGUGCACCCACGGCACGGCCCAGAGACGGCAGCCCAGAGGCCCAGAGAUGGGCUCCACAGCUCGCUCUGGGCGUGGGGGAGGGGACAAAGACGGCACCCCACAAACUGCCAGGGUAACUGGCUAUUCCGGGGGGCGGGGGUGAAUGUCUACCUUAAGCCAUGCACAGAAAUGAAUUCUAGGCCUAACAAAAGCAGAGCCUGAAGAAUUUUAGAAGAAAAUGAAGAGAAUCAUGUGCUCGGGGCAGUGAAGGAUUCCCAACAAGGCACCAAAAAACAAACCCAGCUAAGGUGGACACAUUUCACUCUGUGGAAAAAGGCUCUGUAUUGGUUCUGGAUACACAUGUAUUCACUUGGAAGCAACAUGUAAGGAGUGAGCAGUUCAAAACAGGAUUCCCCGUGGGGGAGGAAGCAAAGUGCCGGAGCAGAUAGGCUGCUCGUGGCUACACAGGCAUUUCCUUCGUGAGCGUUUUAAAACGCGUUCUCAAGGGAUGUACGAUGGUUAGGACAUGCCAUAAUCAAAUGUAAAAGGAUGCCCAGUCCAUGCUCAAAACGAAGACUCCUCUAUGAAUGUUAAGGCGUGAGUCAGGGAGUGGUGGCCCCCCCUCCCCGACACCUCAAAGACGGUGGGGGCCGGAGGUCAGCAGUGGGCACCCAGCUCACCACCUGCCCUUCCGGACGGGGGAGGGGCCCCCUGCACUGAAGUCAAGGCACUGCAGCCUCCCAGCCUCCAAGCUAGAUGCCUCUUGAGGAAACGGAGAAGCAGAGAAAACGAGCCAGUGUGCAACAAGCAGAGGGACAGCACUCAGGCCGUGUGACCCCCCCCCCCCCACGGCCCCUCACCCCGAAGCGCUAGGCCAGGGCGGGAGAAGCGUGCGGUGGCUGCCGAGGGCUCGCCUCCCUGCGCCAAGCACUAGCCCGGGAGGGUGACAGCCUGUGAGCGAACUGCCAGCAGCCUUGAGGCACUGGAAGGGGAGGCAGCCUCUGGCAGUGACAAGGCCUCACUAUCUGGGGCUCAGCUGAGUUCAUAAACCUUCUGUUUCCAGGCCCCUUGUGUGUAGCCACAGUCAGAACUGAUAGAAUACUUAGAAGCGCGACGGAAGACAGCAAGCACAGAGAGCGUGUCCCAGGUCUGGCUGUCAGAACGAGUGGUGGCAGGCACUGGAAUUUAAAUUCCUCCAGUGACCGUGGCCUCUGGUCUGUCAACUGGGGCACCUGCAGAAGCCCGAGGCGCAGGUUUUAAAUUGGCAGAGUAACAGAGGAGAAUUACCUAGUUGUGCCCCAGGAAGCUGAGUGUCAGUGCCCGCGCUGAGAGUCCCCAGGGCUGGCGGGGAGAUCCCACACGGAUGGGUCGAGUGAGCUUUUACUUUCUUUCCCACAGCCCCCCCCGCCCCGGCCUCCCCCCCCGCCC